UAAGGUCUUGGUCUUGAACCUCCUAUUAUCUACACCCUCUGAUUAUACAUGCAAGCCUCAUCAAAACGGUGAAACAGCCCUACACUCAAGCUAGGAGCAGGUAUCAGGCAAUAAGCCCAUGACACCAAGCAAAUUUAAGCCACACCCCCACGGGUCAACAGCAGUAGUUAAUAUUAGGCCAUAAGCAAAAGCUUGACCUAGCAAGAGGAUAUAUAGAGCUGGUUAAUCUCGUGCCAGCGACCGCGGUUACACGACAAGCUCAAGAUAAUAUAAACGGCGUAAAGCACGACUAAGACUACAGUACAUAGUUAAGAACGAAGACCCCCGGGCCGUAAAAAGCCAUAGGAUAUACUAACCACAACAUCUUAACAACAAGACUAUUCCAACUCGUGAAAGCUAGGACACAAACUAAGAUUAGAUACCUUACUAUGCCUAGCCAUAACAUAACAAUCAAAUAACCAAUUGUUCGCCAAAUAACUACGAGUACAAACUUAAAAUUUAAAAGACUUGACGGUACUUCACAACAACCUAGAGGAGCCUGUCCAAUAACCGAUACUCCACGAUUAACCCAACCCGCCCUAGCCAAUCAGUCUAUAUACCGCCGUCGCCAGCUUACCUUGUAAAAGAAAUAAAGUGAGCUAAAUAGACUAUCACUAAUACGACAGGUCGAGGUGUAACAAAUGAGCGGGUAAAAGAUGGGCUACAUUUUCUAAAACAGAACAUACGAAUUAAGCUACGAAAUUAGAAACUGAAGGCGGAUUUAGCAGUAUGUUAAGAAUAAAAUACUUAACUGAAACCAAUGCAAUGAAGUGCGUACACACCGCCCGUCAUCCCUGUCAACAAAAAAUAAAAAUAUAUAAUUAUUCUAUCUAUGUUUAAAGCAGGGCAAGUCGUAACAUGGUAAGCGUACUGGAAAGUGCGCUUAGAAA
rnacentral:ncRNA from 1 species